UCUACAUAUCAUUUCCCACAAAAAGGAACCAGGGCUCUUGAGAAGAGUUAAUACAGAUUCUGCAGUCAAGGAAAAUGCAGGAUGUGUCUAGAAUUUGUCAUAAUAUCAAAGAAACCUGUUGGAGAUUAUUAUAGGCACAUUCAAAGAACCGAGGAGGAGAACAGGCAAAGCUAAGCUAUCGCAAGAGAAAGUAAACUCAUAAUUGCUUGGGGCCCAGAUUUGGAGAAGGAGGCUGCUGAGAAAUGAAGGAACUGAACACUGAACAGUAAAGGACAAGAAUCUUGAGAAGGACAACCUAAGCCUGUCCUUCCCAGCGCCUCCUUUACACUGGGAAGAAACUCCCCUGAAAUUGGAGGUCCCAUGGGUGCUUUUAGGGUUAAAUUAAAAUUUUAAAACUCCAUUCUUGGCCAGAUGUGUUGGCUCACACCUGU
rnacentral:lncRNA from 1 species